rnacentral:tmRNA from 1 species
GGGGCUGAUUGGUUUCGACUGGGGACGCUAGUCCCAGGAGAAGCGGGUCGAGGAGCCAGCGUCAUCUCGUAAACGACCGCUGGAACACACAGUUGCCAACUCUAAGCGCAACGACUUCGCUCUCGCUGCCUGAGCAGUGAUCGAAGGGUCAGACCGGGCAUCCGUCUCCGUCCCGGACCCUGGCCUCAUUUAGGAGACUUGCUGGUCACUCCCUGUCAGGAGGGGUGACCGGGACUUUUUCCUGACUGAGCUCGUCGGCGACCUGUUCGUGGGAGUGCCGGAGCCGAGAAACCGCCAUCACGAACUGCACCCGGAGAAGACCUGGUUCGGCGCUCGAGGACGCGGGUUCGAUUCCCGCCAGCUCCACGC